UUUUGGUUAUUUGGAUUUGACUUCUUAAUAAUAUCUUAAUUGUAGAUUACAGUGUUAAAAUUUAACUUACAUAUCUCAAAUAUCUCGUCUGAAAAAGUUAUCGCAUCGCCGAUGCUAAGUUUAAUAAAUCCCUUAAGUUAAUUUGUGUUAUUUACAUUACUAUAACUUUUUCGUUAUUUUCGUAACAAAAUAUGUCAUGAUUAUAUGAGAAAUUCAACUGAAAAGUGAGGCAGAACGCCACGUGUGAAUAAUUAAUAUUUUUUAUUUUUGAAAAUUAUUUCAAAUAUGGAUGACGUGGCUCUAACGCCACGAAGAAGGACAUUGCACACUGCGUAAGCCCAUGUACAGGCUUGGAGUAUGCUCCGAUGAAAUUUGUCGGUUCUGUGAGCUACUACCAGAAACAUCGGUGCACUUUAUAUUUGAAUGCGGAGCUGUCGCAAGAAGACACAAAACCAAGGAGUCAUUCAGCCGCAGGAGAACUACAUUAAAUCAAUCAUCCCCUCUAGCCUGAACACUUUCAUAAGGGCAUUAGGUCUGGUAGAAAUAAUUUGAGGAAAUCGGAAGGUACAAUAGACCACCGGUCUCAGUGCAUAUCCUUUUUACUAAUCUAUCUAUCUAUCUAUCUAUCUACCAUACUUCCAUCCGUUACUUAAAAAUGUCACUAUACCUUUGAAACGAAGUCAUGUUGUUACAAAAAAACUGCUCCCUCACAAUGAUGAAAGAAA
rnacentral:misc_RNA from 1 species